CCUACGGGGCGCAGCAGUGGGGGAUAUUGCACAAUGGGGGGAACCCUGAUGCAGCGACGCCGCGUGGGUGAAGGAGCGUUUCGGCGCGUAAAGCUCUAUCAGCAGGGAAGAAAAUGACGGUACCUGACUAAGAAGCCCCGGCUAACUACGUGCCAGCAGCCGCGGUAAUACGUAGGGGGCAAGCGUUAUCCGGAUUUACUGGGUGUAAAGGGAGCGUAGACGGAGGAGCAAGUCUGAUGUGAAAAUCCGGGGCCUGACCCCGGAACUGCAUUGGAAACUGUUUAUCUAGAGUGUCGGAGAGGCAA
rnacentral:rRNA from 1 species